AUUCUUUAUGCGUGAAAUGGAUUCGUCUGCCCAAGGAUGGGUCUGCGGCCUAUCAGGUAGUAGUGGGUGUAAUGUACCUACUAGCCGACGACGGGUACGGGUUGUGAGAGCAAGAGCCCGGAGAUGGAUUCUGAGACAUGAAUCCAGGCCCUACGGGGCGCAGCAGGCGCGAAAACUUUACAAUGCGGGAAACCGUGAUAAGGGGACACCGAGUGCCAGCAUCAUAUGCUGGCUGUCCGGGUGUGUAAAAUACACCUGUUAGCAAGGGCCGGGCAAGACCGGUGCCAGCCGCCGCGGUAACACCGGCGGCCCGAGUGGUGAUCGUGAUUAUUGGGUCUAAAGGGUCCGUAGCCGGUUUGGUCAGUCCUCCGGGAAAUCUGACGGCUUAACCGUUAGGCUUUCGGGGGAUACUGCCAGACUUGGAACCGGGAGAGGUAAGAGGUACUACAGGGGUAGGAGUGAAAUCUUGUAAUCCCUGUGGGACCACCUGUGGCGAAGGCGUCUUACCAGAACGGGUUCGACGGUGAGGGACGAAAGCUGGGGGCACGAACCGGAUUAGAUACCCGGGUAGUCCCAGCCGUAAACGAUGCUCGCUAGGUGUCAGGCAUGGCGCGACCGUGUCUGGUGCCGCAGGGAAGCCGUGA
rnacentral:rRNA from 1 species